rnacentral:rRNA from 1 species
GAUGAACGCUGGCGGCGUGCCUAAUACAUGCAAGUCGAGCGAACGGACGAGAAGCUUGCUUCUCUGAUGUUAGCGGCGGACGGGUGAGUAACACGUGGAUAACCUACCUACAAGACUGGGAUAACUUUGGGAAACCGGAGCUAAUACCGGAUGAUAUUUUGAACCGCAUUGUUCAAAAGUGAAAGACGGUCUUGCUGUCACUUAUAGAUGGAUCCGCGCUGCAUUAGCUAGUUGGUAAGGUAACGGCUUACCAAGGCAACGAUGCAUAACCGACCUGAGAGGGUGAUCGGCCACACUGGAACUGAGACACGGUCCAGACUCCUACGGGAGGCAGCAGUAGGGAAUCUUCCGCAAUGGGCGAAAGGCGGACGGAGCAACGCCGCGUGAGUGAUGAGGGUCUUCGGAUCGUAGAACUCUGUUAUUAGGGGAGAACAUAUGUGUAAGUAACUGUGCACAUCUUGACGGUACCUAAUGAGAAAGCCACGGCUAACUACGUG